GUGGAUUAGAUACCCUGGUAGUCCACGCUGUAAACGAUGACGACUAGGUGUGGGGGGGUUCAGUCCCUUCCGUGCCGCAGCUAACGCAUUAAGUCGUCCGCCUGGGGAGUACGGCCGCAAGGUUGAAACUCAAAGGAAUUGACGGGGGCCCGCACAAGCGGUGGAGCAUGUGGUUCAAUUCGAUGCAGAGCGAAGAACCUUACCUGGGCUUGACAUGCAGGAAGUAGGAACCGGAAACGGGGACGACCUGUUAAGUCAGGAACCUGCACAGGUGGUGCACGGCCGUCGUCUGCU
rnacentral:rRNA from 1 species